rnacentral:rRNA from 1 species
UGGGGAAUAUUGGGCAAUGGAGGAAACUCUGACCCAGCGACGCCGCGUGCGGGAUGAAGGCCUUAGGGUUGUAAAGCUCUUUUACCAGGGAUGAUAAUGACAGUACCUGGAGAAUAAGCUCCGGCUAACUCCGUGCCAGCAGCCGCGGUAAUACGAAGGGUGCGAGCGUUAAUCGGAAUUACUGGGCGUAAAGCGCGCGUAGGUGGUUUGACAAGUCUCCUGUCAAAGAUCAGGGCUUAACCCUGGGCCGGCAGGAGAAACUAUCAGGCUAGAGUUCGGUAGGGGCAGAGGGAAUUCCCGGUGGAGCGGUGAAAUGCGUAGAUAUCGGGAGGAACACCAGUGGCGAAAGCGAUGUGCUGGAUCUCAACUGACGCUGAGGCGCGAAAGCUAGGGGAUCAAA